UUGAGUUUUGUAUCUGGCUUACUUAAAUCCUUGUGAGUUAUGAAGUUCCUUAGGAUAGAUAAUUCAAAUUAGAUUUAAGUACUCUUGGGGGAGGGGACUACGGAGUGAAACUACUUAAAUUUUCUAAGUAUAAAGUUUAAAUCUAAAAUAGCAAAACAGGAUUAAGAUAAAUGUGGGCAUAAUUAGGUGUAUUGACAUGCCUUUGAUGUAUCAAACUGAGGGGGAACCCACUAAAUCCAGUCAAGCAGUUUCAUAAUAUCUUCACAAAAUGCCUCUACUUACGGAAUCAUGUUGAUUUUAGUCCUGCUGAUGUGUGUACCGUUACCACUUUGGUUUAUCAAUAUUUGACUGGCUCAAAUGAUGGAUAGAAGGGUAGCCUGGUUAUAGACAGUAGGCAGAAGGAGGCAGAGGGUUACAGUAAUGUAAGAUCAAGACUGGAAAAUGAUAGCUAUAGAAUUACAAGCCCGGUACCACCAGGUACCACAUCACAUAAGAAAAAAGAUUCUAAUGUUUUCUUAACUUAACAGCAAACCAGUCCAGCUACGGGGGCCCAGCCAGCCAGCAGCUGAGUGGGGGUUACGGAGGCGGCUACGGUGGCCAGAGCAGCAUGAGUGGAUACGACCAAGUUUUACAGGAAAACUCCAGUGAUUUUCAAUCAAACAUUGCAUAGGUAACCAAGGAGCAGUGAACAGCAGCUACUACAGUAGUGGAAGCCGUGCAUCUAUGGGCGUGAACGGAAUGGGAGGGAUGUCUAGCAUGUCCAGUAUGAGUGGUGGAUGGGGAAUGUAAUUGAUCGAUCCUGAUCACUGACUCUUGGUCAACCUUUUUUUUUUUUUUUUUUAAGAAAAAAACUUCAGUUUAACAGUUUAUGCAAUACAAGCUUGUGAUUUAUGCUUACUCUAAGUGGAUAUCAGGAUUGUUAUGAAGACUUAAGGCCCA
rnacentral:lncRNA from 1 species